UACGUAGGUGGCAAGCGUUGUCCGGAAUUAUUGGGCGUAAAGCGCGCGCAGGCGGUCCUUUAAGUCUGAUGUGAAAGCCCACGGCUCAACCGUGGAGGGUCAUUGGAAACUGGGGGACUUGAGUGCAGAAGAGGAAAGCGGAAUUCCACGUGUAGCGGUGAAAUGCGUAGAGAUGUGGAGGAACACCAGUGGCGAAGGCGGCUUUCUGGUCUGUAACUGACGCUGAGACGCGAAAGCGUGGGGAGCGAACAGG
rnacentral:rRNA from 1 species